ensembl:misc_RNA 7SK 7SK RNA
UGUGAGGGUGAUCAGGCCGUGUCAUCUGUCACCCCAUUGACUGCCGGGGUUGAUUUGACUGGUUGAUUGGCUAGGUGAGCUGCAUAUUCAGCUGAAGAGGACAACCUUCCCCAAUUGAGGAGGACCGUUCUUUGAUCAAGGAUAUAUGAGUACUUGCACUCCCCUGCUAGGACCUCCAAACAAGCUCUCAAGGUCCAUUUGUAGGAGAACAUAAGUGUAUUCAAGCUUCCAAGACUCCAGACUCAUCCAAAAAAAAAAACAAAACGCUAACCGCCAAGGAAAAGUAAGAUUAUUUU